rnacentral:rRNA from 1 species
UGGGGAAUAUUGCACAAUGGGCGAAAGCCUGAUGCAGCAACGCCGCGUGAGUGAUGAAGGCCUUCGGGUUGUAAAGCACUUUUGUCCGGAAAGAAAUCCUUGGCUCUAAUACAGUCGGGGGAUGACGGUACCGGAAGAAUAAGCACCGGCUAACUACGUGCCAGCAGCCGCGGUAAUACGUAGGGUGCAAGCGUUAAUCGGAAUUACUGGGCGUAAAGCGUGCGCAGGCGGUUUGCUAAGACCGAUGUGAAAUCCCCGGGCUCAACCUGGGAACUGCAUUGGUGACUGGCAGGCUAGAGUAUGGCAGAGGGGGGUAGAAUUCCACGUGUAGCAGUGAAAUGCGUAGAGAUGUGGAGGAAUACCGAUGGCGAAGGCAGCCCCCUGGGCCAAUACUGACGCUCAUGCACGAAAGCGUGGGGAGCAAACAGGAUUAGAUACCCUGGUAGUCCACGCCCUAAACGAUGUCAACUAGUUGUUGGGGAUUCAUUUCCUUAGUAACGUAGCUAACGCGUGAAGUUGACCGCCUGGGGAGUACGGUCGCAAGAUUAAAA